UACCCAUGAACAUCUUAGGACAGCGUUUGGCACAUGACAAGCACUCAAAAUAGCACUGAUCAGUUAUUGAGCGCUUAAUGUGUGCCAGGCCCUGUUUUAAGGGCUUUCG
ensembl:miRNA